rnacentral:lncRNA from 1 species
CCGUGACAUCGGCGAGGUCCGCGUCCCCCUCUCCGAUCUCCUCGCCGGUGCCGGCGAUGGCCCGCGGCCCGUCCAGUUCGUCAGCUAUCAGGUCCACGGGAUGACAUCCGGCAAGCCCAAGGGCGUCCUCAACUUCUCCUACAGCCUCAGCGAGCGGGUCUUGGCGCCCGCCACCGCGUCGGCCGCCGCCCCGUUCGACGCCCACCGGCCUCCGUUCACGUCAUACCCUGCGGUCUCCGCCUCGCACUCAGCGCCGUC